AUGCUAUGGACCCAAAUCAGUUGUAGGUCUUUCUUGGUUGACUUAGCUCUGAAAUCUGCAGUCCCAGUUUCUCUGUCUUUUAGUUGCUGUAGAGCAAUGUAUUCAAGUAAAGUUUCUUGUUACAGUAAUGUUGUCAGAUUAAAACAGAAACAUCCCUCUCCAUUUUCAUUAGUACGUGAUAGCUUGUUGGACACAACUUCAGAAACUUCAGAAUGUUCUGAGGACAUCACAGAAUCACAGAAUCGUAAGGGUUGGAAGGGACCUCCAGAGAUCAUCAAGUACAACCCCCCUGCCAAAGCAGGUUCCCUACACCAGGUCUCACAGUUGUUCUGCAGACUGUGCACAUUUCGCUGCUCUGUGGUGAAUAUCUGUGCUUCCUUUUUGUUUCCUGGGAAACAAGUGAGUGGUUUUAUGCACUGGAAGACAUACACUAAGAAUAAUUCUUCCCAUUUAAUCCACUCUGAUUUUUACUUCUUAAUAUACUGGAAGAUUAAGUUUGAAGCAAGAGCUUCAGCCAUUUUAGGGAUGGCUUUUACCACUUGGAGCUUUCUGGAACAGGCCCCAUGUAAGCUUGGAAGAGACCUUAUAUAUUCGCUCAGCAAGACCCAAUUUGACUGUGACUUGCUGCCUUGUUUCUUUACAUUCAUCUGA
rnacentral:lncRNA from 1 species